GAGUGACCAAGUGUGGGGACCAGCCCCGUGGGGAGGACCGCCCGUGCCCACACUGAUACCCCACUCUAAUUCAUGUAUCCACUGACCCUGAAAAAUGUCUGUUGCUGUUUUACUGUUACGAAGACAUUUUUUCUGGGCACAUCCAAUUCACUGGCGCAAGAACUUAUGUACAUAAGAAAAUACCUCGGUCUGAACGCGCGUGCCCGAUAGCCCUCCUCCCCGCUUCCUGGGGGGCAGCAGAGAGCAGGCGUGUGAGCGCACCCUCACGUCCAUGCAGUAGACAACAGAAGGGAGCCUUAUUUCUGGCUGAAGAUUCAAGUUAAAACAAUGAAGGAGAGAGGACAAGAGUUAUGAUCCACAGUCUGUUGAACAAGAUCUUGCUAGUGUUGAAGAACAAAAGAAAAUUGAAGCUACUAGGACCAUUUAAAACAACGGCUCUCCGCACAAUUGUUGAAGACUGUCUAUACUCCGGAUUGUUUUCUCAACGUGCUCUUCAAAUACCACGUUAGAAAUACUUACCUGCACAGGAAAUGUAACAUCAGUUCUGUUAUGUGACUGCACAAGGCAACCGGCUGCCCCCACCCCGGGAAAGUCAGUGGGCCUUUGGAGACAAAAAGAGCCUUGAUGGUGUUUGAAAGAUAAAAGUAGGUGAAAGAAGACAUACAGAAACUGCAAAGCCACCUGGCCUGUCAGGUAGAGGCCUGGAGAAGUCACGACCCCCUGGCCACUGAGAGAUGGCUGUACUCUGGGCGUUCAGAGACCGCGCUCAUCAUCUUGCUAAUUCUGUGAACACCGUGGAUUCGUUCCCCAGCUUACGGCAUUACGAGGGCAGUGUCUCUGCGACGGGGGGGCCUCUCUGGCUUCAUCUGCCUGCAGCACCUCGGCGCUCCGGGAAGCGCUGGCGGCAGGGAGUAGAUAUGCUGUAUGAUGUCACAGUGUCUCUGGCUUCCUGGAAGAGGUACCACCCACCAGACGUUUCAGAGAAGCGGACUCGGGAUGCUGGAUGCCCUCAUGUGGAGGGCAGACACCCAGACAGCUCCACAGGCACAGAGGCUUCCCAGAGCCCGGGGGUCCGUGGCCCCAAGGCAGGCCCCCGACUCCUGGGCCUUCAGACGCUGUCCUCCCGCUCCUCGGAGCUGGCUCCCGGAGCGGAGGUUAAGUGGGGUCAGCUCUGAAAAGCAAGGGCAAACAUGAGAGACACCGUUAAAUGACUACAGGAAUGGAUCAUGCACAGAAUUUCAAUGAAUGCCUCUGAGGAACACCAGCACUGAAUUCCAUUUUAAAUGGAAGAGGCUGUCAUAUUAUUGAAGUAAUUCUCUGAACUUUCCUGGCCCCGAGUGCUGUGCUGACAGCCAGAGAGCUUCCACAACCCAGAGGGAGAAGAGCUGCAUGAAAGACUCACAGGCUUUCUACCUUCCUAAUGAGGCUGUGUGGUUUGGAGGACCAGGUGGCAUUCUCGCGUGUCUGCCCCUCUUCCGGUGUUGAUUACGGACACACUUCCCUGUAGCCGGGUGGCAGCAAAGUGUUGUUGAGGCACCUGGAGGUAAGGUGGGGGCAAAGUCAAGACAUUCCCCACAGUCACACUCCCUCUGAUGGAUAAUUUCAGUGACACAUUGCUUUUGAUCUGCUGCUAGAACAGGAUAAUCAUGAGGUCAGAAGUCAAGGGGGUCGAGAUUUCUGGUCAAGAUGGCAGAGCAGUAGGACCAUGAGCUCGUCUCUCCCCUUGUGACUGUGACAAAACCACAACUGACUGUUAAACUACCAUGGGAAGAAAAAGACUGGAACCUAGCAAAAAAGAUCCUCUUGAAGUGGAAACAAAAAGAGGGAACCACGGUGGAACAGUAGGAGAGAACUGUACCUUAAACGAAGAACAAACUGGGUGUUGAUAAUACCAGGAAGGACCCCAAAUGACAAAAGAAGUUCCUGGGACCACUCCCUCCAGCUGACAAGGUUCAGGCUCCAGUAGCACACGUUGCCUGUGAGCCCAGCGUGGUCAUGUGGCACCGUCCGUGGGGGACACGACCGUGGCGGUGCUCUUCUGACCUUGGUUUAUAUGAAAAGUGUGAUCUCGUGUAGCAAAAGGCAGCAGAAGCAGCUCUGAAUGUGAGGGAGGCACAGCGCCCAGUGCAGCAGGGGUGGGAGGGGCCAGCUGGUCGUACCUGGGGAGCGCGCAGCCAGGCAGGGGCCAUCUGGAAAGGCAGGCGGGUCCAGGCGCCCAGCACAGGCGGAACACCGAUUCCUGGGUUGUAACUCUAAGACAGGCAACGUGCUGUAUCCUUGGUGUAGAGGCUCUGCUUCGCCUUUAUCACCGAAGACCCGGAGAAAGGCGAGGCCUCUUUCUGUUCCCAUGUAAGCAACAGACCUGGUCCCCCACUCUGUCUUGUCUCUUAAUCAAAGCUG